AUCUCACCUGGGCCUCAUCUGCAAACAAUCAGCAGGAGGGCUUCUUAAACCAGCGCUGCCUGCUACUCCUCGCCAGUUUGUUCUGCCAUCUCCAGUGCUUCUCCAGUGGGACUGAAGCCAUCCAUCCCACCAGCCAGCGGCCCUUCGGGUGAGAGGAAGGGCCCCGUCGUCAUGGCGCCUGUCAACGUGGAGCCAGCCGGGCGAGUUUGUCCUAGAAAGCUUAUUUGCCAUCUUCACCUUGCUCUCUGAACGCAAGAGCUGUAUCAUCAUGGCUGAACCACUGGAGAAGCCGCUAAACAAAUCUCUGCAGAGGAGAAGAGCCACAGUUUGACCAGCUGAUCAGCUCUAUGAGUUCUCUUGCUGGGUACUGCCUGCCAUCCAUCCUGAAGACUCUGUUCGACUGGUACAAGAGGCAAAAUGGCCUGGAGGACGAGUCCCAUGAACAUCGACCCGGGGCCAAGUCAAAAAAGAGUCUCUGUUCUCCUCCUGACCUACCUGACUCUGGAGUAGUUCCUCGUCAUCGUUUUCCCUUUUAGCAAUUUGCGCCCAGGCAAACUUCAGACAGGGGUAAGUUGCACUAGUCAUAAUAAUGUGCCUGAUGAAGGUCAUCCAACUGUUGUCUUUGUCCACAAACUAAUUAUCGCUCUUAUUUUGAAGAAAGACUGGGUUUGUGCUGCUGGAAUAUCAUCUUUAGGUUGGUGUUUAAGUGGAUCAGAAAGUGUGG